GUAGGGAAUAUUGCACAAUGGAGGAAACUCUGAUGCAGCGACGCCGCGUGAGUGAUGAAGGCCUUCGGGUCGUAAAGCUCUGUCGCAGGGGAAUAACACAAUGAAGGUACCCUGUAAGAAAGGAUCGGCUAACUUCGUGCCAGCAGCCGCGGUAAGACGAGGGAUCCUAGCGUUGUUCGGAAUCAUUGGGCGUAAAGCGGAUGUAGGUGGCUAUGUAAGUCAGAUGUGAAAGCCUGGGGCUCAACCCAGAAGUGCAUUUGAUACUGCGUAGCUUGAGUGUCGGAGAGGUUACUAGAAUUGUUGGUGUAGUGGUGAAAUACGUAGAUAUCAACAGGAAUACCGGAGGCGAAGGCGGGUAACUGGCCGAACACUGACACUGAGAUCCGAAAGCGUGGGGAUCAAACAGGAUUAGAAACCCCGGUAGUCC
rnacentral:rRNA from 1 species